rnacentral:lncRNA from 1 species
GCCUGGGUGACGGAGUGAGACUCGGUUUCAAAAAAGAAAAAAAAAAAAAAUCAAGAUCCCAGGAUCCUGUGUGCCCUUCACCCAGCCUCCCCCAAGAAUAACAUCCUGAGACAACGACAAUUCAUCAUCCAUAUCAUAACUAGGAAGGCAGCAUGGAUAUAGCCAGCCGUAUGCAGAUUGCAGCAGUUUCCAAUGCACUCACUUGUGUGUGUGUGUGCAUGUGCGCAUGUAUCUGUGUGGGUGUCUGCAUGUGAGUAUGGGUGUGUGUGCACGAGUGUGAGUGUGCGUGAGUGUGAGUGCAUGUGAAUGUUCGCAAGUGUGUGUGAGUAUGCAUGUGCAUGUUUGUGUGACUGUGUGUAUGGUGUGUAUGUUCGCAAGUGUGCGUGUGAGUAUACUUGUGGGUGUGUGUGAGUGUGCAUGUAUGUGUGUGCACGUGAGUGUGCGUGUAUUUAGUUCUAUGUGUUCUUAUCACAUGUGCAGACUCCAGUGAUCACAACCAGUCCAUGCUGAGCUGCCUCGUCACAAAGGCCCUGGUGCUGACUUCUGUUCUGAACCUCACCCAGGACUCUUCUCCACUGGGUUUCUACAAAACAUGAGAGCUCUCUGCACAGAAGAAAAGAAAAAUGGACGGAACUCGAACUUAAAUCCAACCUUGUGGUUACAAUUACAGAGGCCCACCCAGGCCAGCACUGUGCGGACCCCUUCAGGCUUCUCUCGGGCUCUCCCGAGACACACCGGCAGGCUGCAGUGCUACCACUGUGGUAAAGGACAAGGAAACUGAGGCUCUGUGGGAUUCCAGGACUUGCCCAAGGUCACACCAUCCUUGAGGGGUCGAGCCGGGACUGGAACCUCAGUCCGGCCACUACAACUUCAUAAACACCAUCGCCCUGAGAUGCCGAAAUCCCAGGGGCCCCCCACCCUCAGACCAGGUGCCGGUAUUGUCAGCAUCGAGAAAACAAAGUGCCAGUGAAUUAUCAACUGUGAGCCUAUUAUGAGCCAGAAGGCAGGUUUCAUUCACUCCCUUAAGCCA